GUGGCCGUACGCUGGCGGCGUGCUAAUACAUGCAAGUCGAGCGAAUGACGAGAAGCUUGCUUCUCUGAUUUAGCGGCGGACGGGUGAGUAACACGUGGGCAACCUGCCCUACAGAUCGGGAUAACUCAGGGAAACCUGGGCUAAUACCGGAUAAUCCUUCGAAUCACAUGUUUUGAAGUUGAAAGGCGCUUCGGCGUCACUGUAGGAUGGGCCCGCGGUGCAUUAGCUAGUUGGUGGGGUAACGGCCUACCAAGGCAACGAUGCAUAGCCGACCUGAGAGGGUGAUCGGCCACAUUGGGACUGAGACACGGCCCAAACUCCUACGGGAGGCAGCAGUAGGGAAUCUUCCACAAUGGACGAAAGUCUGAUGGAGCAACGCCGCGUGAGUGAUGAAGGUUUUCGGAUCGUAAAACUCUGUUGUAAGGGAAGAACAAGUACGUUAGGAAAUGAACGUACCUUGACGGUACCUUAUUAGAAAGCCACGGCUAACUACGUGCCAGCAGCCGCGGUAAUACGUAGGUGGCAAGCGUUGUCCGGAUUUAUUGGGCGUAAAGCGCGCGCAGGUGGUUUCUUAAGUCUGAUGUGAAAGCCCACGGCUCAACCGUGGAGGGUCAUUGGAAACUGGGGAACUUGAGUGCAGAAGAGGAUAGUGGAAUUCCAAGUGUAGCGGUGAAAUGCGUAGAGAUUUGGAGGAACACCAGUGGCGAAGGCGACUGUCUGGUCUGUAACUGACACUGAGGCGCGAAAGCGUGGGGAGCAAACAGGAUUAGAUACCCUGGUAGUCCACGCCGUAAACGAUGAGUGCUAAGUGUUAGGGGGGUUUCCGCCCCUUAGUGCUGCAGCUAACGCAUUAAGCACUCCGCCUGGGGAGUACGACCGCAAGGUUGAAACUCAAAGGAAUUGACGGGGGCCCGCACAAGCGGUGGAGCAUGUGGUUUAAUUCGAAGCAACGCGAAGAACCCUUACCAGGUCUUGACAUCCCAAUGACCGUUCCUAGAGAUAGGAUUUUUCCCUUCGGGGACAUUGGAUGACAGGUUGUGCAUGGAUUGUCGUCAGCUCGUGUCGUGGAGAUGUUUGGGCUAGUUCCCCGCAACGAGCGACAAAA
rnacentral:rRNA from 1 species